GUAAGCCACAACACACAAUUAAAGUCAGAACCAUACAGGGAAGAUGAACAGGGCCCCUGUGCAAGACUGCCACACAAAACANGAAACAUUCCAUAUUUCA
rnacentral:snRNA from 1 species